CAGUCGCCACGGGAAUACGUAGGGUGCAAGCGUUAAUCGGAAUUACUGGGCGUAAAGCGUGCGCAGGCGGUUCGUUAAGACAGAUGUGAAAUCCCCGGGCUCAACCUGGGAACUGCAUUUGAGACUGUAUGGCUAGAGUGUGUCAGAGGGGGGUAGAAUUCCACGUGUAGCAGUGAAAUGCGUAGAUAUGUGGAGGAAUACCGAUGGCGAAGGCAGCCCCCUGGGAUAACACUGACGCUCAUGCACGAAAGCGUGGGGAGCAAACAGGAUUAGAUACCCCUGUAGUCCCUGUCUCUUAUCC
rnacentral:rRNA from 1 species